rnacentral:rRNA from 1 species
AGAGCGAACGCUGGCGGCAGGCCUAAUACAUGCAAGUCGAACGGACCCUUCGGGGUUAGUGGCGGACGGGUGAGUAACACGUGGGAACGUGCCCUUUGGUUCGGAACAACUCAGGGAAACUUGAGCUAAUACCGAAUGUGCCCUUCGGGGGAAAGAUUUAUCGCCAUUGGAGCGGCCCGCGUCUGAUUAGCUAGUUGGUGAGGUAAAGGCUCACCAAGGCUUCGAUCAGUAGCUGGUCUGAGAGGAUGAUCAGCCACACUGGGACUGAGACACGGCCCAGACUCCUACGGGAGGCAGCAGUAGGGAAUCUUGCGCAAUGGGCGAAAGCCUGACGCAGCCAUGCCGCGUGAAUGAUGAAGGUCUUAGGAUUGUAAAAUUCUUUCAGCGGGGACGAUAAUGACGGUACCCGCAGAAGAAGCCCCGGCUAACUUCGCGCCAGCAGCCGC